rnacentral:rRNA from 1 species
CCCUUAGAUGUCCUGGGCCGCACGCGCGCUACACUGAUGCAUUCAACGAGUUUUACCUUGGCCGAGAGGCCUGGGCAAUCUUUUAAACCUGCAUCGUGAUAGGGAUAGAUUAUUGCAAUUAUUAAUCUUGAACGAGGAAUUCCUAGUAAACGCAGAUCAUCAAUCUGUAUUGAUUACGUCCCUGCCCUUUGUACACACCGCCCGUCGCACCUACCGAUUGAAUGGUCCGGUGAAGCCUCGGGAUUGUGGCCAGUUCACUUUAUUGGGAGUUGGCUGCGAGAACUUGUCUAAACCUUAUCAUUUAGAGGAAGGUGAAGUCGUAACA